UAGGGAAUCUUCGGCAAUGGGGGCAACCCUGACCGAGCAACGCCGCGUGAGUGAAGAAGGUUUUCGGAUCGUAAAGCUCUGUUGUAAGUCAAGAACGAGUGUGAGAGUGGAAAGUUCACACUGUGACGGUAGCUUACCAGAAAGGGACGGCUAACUACGUGCCAGCAGCCGCGGUAAUACGUAGGUCCCGAGCGUUGUCCGGAUUUAUUGGGCGUAAAGCGAGCGCAGGCGGUUUGAUAAGUCUGAAGUUAAAGGCUGUGGCUCAACCAUAGUUCGCUUUGGAAACUGUCAAACUUGAGUGCAGAAGGGGAGAGUGGAAUUCCUAGUGUAGCGGUGAAAUGCGUAGAUAUUAGGAAGAACACCAGUGGCGAAGGCGACUUUCUGGACGAAAACUGACGCUGAGGCGCGAAAGCCAGGGGAGCGAACGGGAUUAGAUACCCCGGUAGUCCUGGCCGUAAACGAUGAGUGCUAGGUGUUAGACCCUUUCCGGGGUUUAGUGCCGCAGCUAACGCAUUAAGCACUCCGCCUGGGGAGUACGACCGCAAGGUUG
rnacentral:rRNA from 1 species